CUUUGCUUUUCGAAAAAUGAAGGAGGUAUGGGAUUCCGGGAUUUACACUCAUUUAACUUGGCCAUGUUAGCUAAACAAGCAUGGAGGUUGAUCACCUAACCGGUUUAGUUGUGCGCUCAAGUUCUUCGGGCAAAGUAUUACCCGAAUAGGAACGUUCUCAAAGCGGGACCCAAAGGAUGUUCUUCUUUUACUUGUUACUUGGCAAAGCCUUCGGGCUGGGAUUCAAACGUUCAGAAGAGGAUGCAUAUGGCUAACAGGAGAUGGACAAAAUGUUAA
rnacentral:rRNA from 1 species